ensembl:lncRNA
GUGUUCCUUUGGCUUGCAUUGAAGCAGAAAAAAUAGUUUUGCAACAUGUGGGACUGAAGUUCUUACUCUGCUAUUUGCUAGGAAUUUAUUUGCUAAAAAGAAAUUCAAUGCAGGCUUUUCUGAUAGCAAACAAAAAUAUAUGUCUCGCUUAAGUUUCCCCAGAUGAAUUGUAAAAUAUAACUUAAUAUGCACAUGCAUCUGUUCUGUGGAAACUACAGACAGGAGGAAAAUUAUAUACCUGACCUGCUCUAGGAUUACAAGAGCCCCCAUUCCUGUUACACGACAGAGGUCAGAAUUUACUGGCAUCAGCGGCAGCUGCUACAGAGAGCAAAGCACUGAGCUCUGGUUGCCUUUUGAGAAAAGGACUUCUCCUGCUGGCUUUUUUUUAUCUGAAGAGGGCAUCACUUCCUUCAGGAUGUCAGCUGAUAUCCUGGCAGAUCUUUCUCAAACUGUGAUGUGAACUGGCAAGUGGGCUGCCAAGAGUGAGAUGAAAGAGCACGACAGAGACUCCAGAGUAUGGCAGGGCUUGAUGGCAGCGGGGCCGUUUCCGCACCGCACUGCCCGGGUGGUGAUGAUGUGUGAAAUAGUGUCCUCUGCUGCACGAACCGACACAGUGCGCCUGCC